UCCCCCUGGCAAUGGGCAAGGAGACAUCUGAUUGGUGGUGGUGUUCUUAUAUCAAUCUGGGGCAAAGCAGAUGUACAGUUCUUAGUUCAUCCUAGCUUGAUGCCUGUGUAAAUAA
rnacentral:snoRNA from 1 species